rnacentral:lncRNA from 1 species
CCACGUCGUGUAAAUUAAUAUAUAAAAACGUUUUUUUUUUUGUGACCAUAAAUUGUAGUUGCCUACAAAGUAAGAUUUACUCGUUUGGCCAAUAUAACACAAUAAUUAACACUUAGCACUGUUUUCCCAUAAAAAGCAUUCCUUUUACAAAUAAUUAUUAUUAUUACAAUAAAAAGAACAAACAUUGGUGCAAUGUCCUGCUUCAGCUUCACCAUGUUCCAAUCCGCUUUAAGGAGAAAAAGAUGAAAGGGACUCCCAAUGACCCAACCCCAGCCCCAUGCUUCUGUCUAUUUAAUACUAUAUAUACAUAUCUGGCAAACCAGAAAUUUUAUACGACUAACUGUACAAAUCAAUCUUUUUCCUUUCUUUUACUAGUAAAUAAAUUUGGAUUCCCCAUUUAAGAAUACGUUCAAUAUGAACCAAUUUAGCUAAAAAAAGUCAUUUUAAGGGCCCGCCCACCUCAGUACUGUACUACUUGUACUGUUGCUUCUUAUUCGCCAUCAUGCAUUGUUUUUACACUUUCACAAUCAUUUUAUUUCCUCUUAAUCGUUUCACCACAUUUUCUUACUUCUUAAUCGGCUCCCUAGUGCUUUGAAGAAGAAGAAAACCUGUCACUAUUACAUGCAAUAAUGAAACAUUAAGAGAGUGAUUGGUCCAAUUCAACUACCUGCAAUGAGAGAAGUUACAACAUGUUGUAUGUCAUUUAAUGCCAUACUAUUAUCAAUGGAGGCAAAUAGAAAAAAAAAUUGUCACAUGGCCCCAUUAAAAAUGAGGGGUUUGGAUGCGUUAGAAAGAGUAAAUAACUGUCGUGCAAGCAAGCUGUGAGCACUAUCAUUUGAAACACAGACAUUUACUGUGUGUGUUCCACUCAAAGUGUGUUGCAGUCUUCAAUUAUCUGAUGAGAAAUGAACUUGUUAAGACAAGGAUUUUUUGAAUGGAUUUUCCUCACUCUCACCGACUUGUGUGACUAAUUUGCCUAGAGGAAAAUGCCAAGUUAACAUGUGGUUCUUAAUAACUAGUGUUACUUGUGAAAGAUCAAAACAUAUGAAAAAGUUGCAUCGAAUUUUUGGGCUUAACAUGUUUGGAAUUUGAUCUACUUGUAGGUGUUAUGGGCACAUGUGAAGUUAGCCUACUGAAAAUGUAAAAUGAAUGGAUUGGUGUAGGGUUGAAGCCCAUCUCCAAUUUCAUAAUGAGGUAAUGAUGAGUCUGAAAAUUGGGUCUGUAGUCUACAGAUUAUAGGAUCUGAGACGGUUAAGCUCAGAGGCAAAGUCAUCAACAGCAUCCUUUGUCAAUAGGGUGUUGACCAUCUCACCAGCGUUUUUAUGAAUUUAUGCGCAGCAUCACAAAUAAAUGAAUAAAAAUCCUUUAAAAGAAUAUGGCAA